rnacentral:tRNA from 1 species
GACUUCAUGGCCUAAUGGAUAAGGCGCUAGUUCAGAGAACUAGAGAUUUUGGGUUCGAUUCCGUAUGAAGUUC